CACGUAGUUAGCCGUGGCUUAUUCAAGGGGUACCGUCUUCUGCUCUUCCCCCUUAAAAGAAGUUUACAACCCGAAAGCCUUCUCCCUUCACGCGGCGUUGCUGGGUCAGACUUGCGUCCAUUGCCCAAUAUUCCCCACUGCUGCCUCCCGUAGGAGUCUGGGCCGUAUCUCAGUCCCAAUGUGGCCGGUCAACCUCUCAGUCCGGCUACUGAUCGUCGCCUUGGUAGGCCGUUACCCUGCCAACUAGCUAAUCAGACGCGAGGCCAUCUUCCAGCGAUAAAUCUUUGACAUUCAAACCAUGCGAUUCAAAUGUGUCAUGCGGUAUUAGCAGUCGUUUCCAACUGUUGUCCCCCUCUGGAAGGCAGGUUCCUCACGCGUUACUCACCAGUCCGCCACUAAGCAUUCCUAUCCAUUGACCGAAAUCUCUUUCAAGGGUGCUCCGUUCGACUUGCAUGUGUUAAGCACGCCCGCCAGCGUCUCCGUCGAGCCGACGGAGUCAACCUACU
rnacentral:rRNA from 1 species